rnacentral:tRNA from 1 species
GCGGGCGGCUCGGGGGCGGGAUUUAGGUUCCAGUGGCGAGAGUCGUGGGGGUUCGAGUCCCUCCGCCCGCACCA